rnacentral:lncRNA from 1 species
CUGGAACGGAGAAAGGAGGCAAACGCUGAAAGACACAGCGCUUAGGGUGUCUCAUUCCCUGGCCCACAUCUGCCCGGAGUUGCAGUCGCAGCGGCAUCUCAUACUGUGUUCACCCCAUAAAUUAAUUCCUCCUUAUCAACAGGGAGUGGCUGGCAGAACAAAGACUGUGUGCCGGCGGAGGCCAGCGUGGGUGGGUGGCUGUCACCACGCGUAGGGACAAUGAGCGCGGAGAGGCCGUGUGUGCGGCAUGAAUGGGAACAGGCGGGCGGGCGCGGGGCACGUGUGCCCGCGAUGCGGCGCGCCCGCGGGAGCCUGCGCGUCCCCACCCCUCGGAGCGGCGGCGGGCGCCGAGCCGGAUUUCUGGAGCUGUCCAUGAGCUCAUCGCUCUCGCGGCGGCGGCGGCGGCCAGGGCAGCAGCCUCCGCUCUCCGCGCGCCGCUAGCCCGAGCCCGGCCGCCCGCUCGCGCCCACCCGGCGGCCCGCCGGCCAGCCCAGCCCGCGGCCAAGGUCGCGCCGCCCCGCCCGGAGGAGGCGGGCGCGGGCAGGGCAGCGGCUUCGGCCGGGACCGCGGCCGGCCAGCCGGGCACAGCCGCCCUCGCUCUCUGCGGCCCAGGCGCCGGGGGCCAGAGGGGCCGCGGGCCGCAGGCCGGGGAGCGGCCGGAGCCGCGGGGGAGCCGGCGUGACAGCGGACGAGCCGGCGCCCGGGAAGAUGGCUUCUCCCACCUCCCCGGCCCCCGAGGGCGGGGCCUGCACCCCGCCGAACCCUCCGCGGAUUCGUCAGAGAGAAGAAUGGGCUCAUUUUUUUGGAUGGGAUCUAUUUGUCUUGUGCCCAAGUCAAGAGAAUGCUGUAAACAGUCAUGCUGUCAUUUGAUUUAUUACACGCAAGCCACGCAUUGGACUGCCUUCCUGAGCAUUCACGCACAGUGCCUUGCUGCUGAAGAUCCUCGUUACUCUUUCUGUCUAUUUAGUUCCACUUAUUUACCAAUUUCAUUAGCCAGCCCUGGUGGUCUAGUGGUUACGAUUUGGUGGUCUCACGGCAGUUGCCCCACCCUCCAUCUGUCAGUUGUCAGACUGUGGCAGCUACCUGUUGCUGUGAUGCUGAAAGCUAUGCCACCCGUGUUUCAAAUACCAGCGGGGUCACCCAUGGUGGACAGGUUUCUGCGGAGCUUCCAGACCAAGACAGACUAG